rnacentral:rRNA from 1 species
AGCAGCCGCGGUAAUUCCAGCUCCAAUAGCGUAUAUUGAAGUUGUUGCAGUUAAAAAGCUCGUAGUUGAAUUUCGGGGUCAGUAGGCUGGUCGUGCCACAGGUACGCACUGGUCUCACUGAUUCCUCCUUCCUGAUGAACCGUAAUGCCAUUAAUUUGGUGUUGCGGGGAGACUGGACUGUUACUUUGAAAAAAUUAGAGUGUUUAAAGCAGGCUAACGCUUGAAUACAUUAGCAUGGAAUAAUGAAAUAGGACGUUCGGUCUUAUUUUGUUGGUUUCUAAGAUUGACGUAAUGAUUAAUAGGGAUAGUUGGGGGCAUUAGUAUUCAAUUGUCAGAGGUGAAAUUCUUGGAUUUAUUGAAGACUAACUACUGCGAAAGCAUUUGCCAAGGAUGUUUUCAUUAAUCAAGAACGAAAGUUAGGGGAUCGAAGACGAUCAGAUACCGUCGUAGUCUUAACCAUAAACUAUGCCGACUAGGGAUCGGAUGAUGUUAAUUUUUUAAUGACUCA